rnacentral:tRNA from 1 species
GGGGGCUUAGCUCAGCUUGGUAGAGCACUUGGUUUGGGACCAAGGGGUCGCAGGUUCGAAUCCUGUCUUCCCGA